GUGGGGAAUAUUGGACAAUGGGCGAAAGCCUGAUCCAGCCAUGCCGCGUGUGUGAAGAAGGUCUUCGGAUUGUAAAGCACUUUAAGUUGGGAGGAAGGGCAGUAAGUUAAUACCUUGCUGUUUUGACGUUACCGACAGAAUAAGCACCGGCUAACUUCGUGCCAGCAGCCGCGGUAAUACGAAGGGUGCAAGCGUUAAUCGGACUUACUGGGCGUAAAGCACGCGUAGGUGGUUCAGUAAGUUGGAGGUGAAAUCCCCGGGCUCAACCUGGGAACUGCAUACAAAACUGCAUGACUAGAGUACGGUAGAGGGUAGUGGAAUUUCCUGUGUAGCGGUGAAAUGCGUAGAUAUAGGAAGGAACACCAGUGGCGAAGGCGACUACCUGGACUGAUACUGACACUGAGGUGCGAAAGCGUGGGGAGCAAACAGGAUUAGAUACCCGGGUAGUCC
rnacentral:rRNA from 1 species